UUGGUGGUGGCGGCAGGUAAGCUGAUAGCUGCUAGCAUACGGUUAUGUCUUUAAUUGUUUUAUAGUGAGUGUACUCUUAACGUUCUUUUGACUUGUAGUGUGUCUUUUCCGUUGCGCUGGUGUUGCUCUGGUGGCCUUCCGUGCUACAGUUGUGGGUUAUAUGACCGCUCGUCGUUCAGGCAUGGUUCCUUGCAAUAGGUUUUCCUAUACAAGCGGGGGAACUGACUGAACCGGCACCUGUAAAGUGACGCACGUGAGGUAUAACCCCUUCUGGACCCUCCUUCUCAUUCUUGUUCCAUUGUACCAUUUCUUCGCGCUGCUGAAUGCGGUCGCGUUCCAAUGUAUGGCCGCUUAGACGCCGUUAUCACCGCUGCUUAAAGAGAACUGUGUCCGUUUCAUAGUUGCUGCCGUAUCAUUCCUUCGCACUGCUAAAUGCGGUCGCAUUCCAAUGUAUUGCCGCUUAGACGCCGUUAUCACCUCUGCUUAAAGAGAACUGCUCUUGUUAAGUUACCGUACGC